rnacentral:lncRNA from 1 species
AUGCUGCUCUUCGUUUCCAGGCAUAAAAAGAUCACUGAACUUUUAUCUAUGGGCAGUACUGCAAAAUUGACUAUGAAGAUUUCUGCCAUCCUCAUAAGCAUCAGAGAUAAGCAAUAAUGGAGGUAAGACAUUGUACUUGACCAACUUUCUAAAACUGAUCCAGUACAAAAAAAAUAUCUUUUAUGUUCCUAUGUCAAAUAACCAAGAGCUCUGUUUUUACUUCUUUUCCUCUAGAUGGUACUUUAUCAGUCAUUUAACUUCCGUAGACAUGCUGAGCUGAAGAAGGAAGAGAAAGAUCAUUAUAUAUAAUUCUCCAGAAAUACAAAGCAACCUAUUCAGUGACAUAGUUUCAAUAAGACAGCUCAAAAUACACAGCUAAUUUAGGUCU